rnacentral:rRNA from 1 species
UACGAAGGGGGCUAGCGUUGCUCGGAAUCACUGGGCGUAAAGCGCACGUAGGCGGAUUGCUAAGUCAGGGGUGAAAUCCUGGAGCUCAACUCCAGAACUGCCUUUGAUACUGGCGAUCUCGAGUCCGGGAGAGGUGGAGUGGAACUGCGAGUGUAGAGGUGAAAUUCGUAGAUAUUCGCAAGAACACCAGUGGCGAAGGCGGCUCACUGGCCCGAUACUGACGCUGAGGUGCGAAAGCGUGGGGAGCAACAGGGAUU